GCUCCGGUUGUGUCCCGGUUAAGCUUGCGAAGGACCAGGCAUAGCGGCCUUUCGAGCCGCCGACGCGGGUCCGAAUCCCGCCCGGAGCA
rnacentral:tRNA from 1 species